GGUGUUUCUCAGGUGAUGCACCGUGGAAUCAGGCUCCCUCUUCUGUGGUUCUGGGUGUAUCACCCGAGAACCACA
rfam:Myotis davidii contig154012, whole genome shotgun sequence.